CUGCAGCACAAAAGAUGUGAUGACUCUUCUUCAGUGAGUCAAGGGGUUCAGUCCCAUUAGGGGAGGGAAAGGAGAUAAGGCAGACGUCCCAUGCUGCUCUUUUGUGUAGCAACAGGAGUGUGUUUGGGUAUUGCUAUUUUGAUGACUCAGUAGUGAGUCAGUUUUAAAGUUCUGUAAAAGGCCUUGUUCAGCUCAGACAGGACUACAAUGAGCUUGUUUGAUAGCUCAUUGGGUAGAGAGGACUGAGUUGUGUGUGAUCCAAUCAGCUGAUUGGUGGUGUAAAUAUGUAGUCGAAAAAACAUAUCAGCAAGGGUGAAACUAUUUCUGAAUGCAGAAAUCAACUGUCCUUGGCAGUCACCUGUUGAGUGCCUGCUGUGUUCAAGCACCAUCCAUGUUCUACCCAUUCCCCAUUACCUUUAUGAAGAUUAGAAUAUGAGAAUUGUGUUAAGUGCUACAAAGAUCUAGGGUGCUUGAAGGAGCUGGGAAAGCCCAUGGUUGGCUUACAUAGAGCGCAAUGGAAGGUGACGGCAGGAGAACACAGACUUGCAGAAGAGCGCGCGGUAGCCCUGUCGUCCUGUGGUCCAGAGCACGAAGCUAGUAGCAUCAGAUGGCUGUAGUUCUGCCUCUUUCCUCAGCUCUAGUCAGUCAGCACUCUCUUGCCUCCGAUGUACGGCCGUCCGUAGCUCAUGCUCCAGAAGGGGAAAUGUCACACUGGAAUAUACAGUGCAAAUAAAACUUCUAUUUUCUGAAUCUGCUCUUCCAAAAUUAGAGCAUUUUUUUGUUUUUCUCUGGCCCUUUUUUCCUCCUUGGUGUUAAAACUAGAGUUAUGUACCUUUCUGUUCCUGUUAAUGUAUAGCCUCAUUUAGAUAUGUAUUUUCAAAAUCCAUAAUUCUCCAGUCAAAAACUAAGCAGGUGGAUCCUGUUCUCUUCAUCUCUCACAGGGAGGAGAGAAGGGCAGAUACACAGCAUGAUCAAAACAGAGCCCUAG